AUGGCGGGAGAGGUGAGCAAGGAGGAGCUCCGGAGCGUCCUCAUGCAGGCCAUGAUGGCCGCCAAGAACUUGCGCCCGCAGCGCGACCGCCUCCUGCAUCUCCAGCGCCGCCUGCAGCGCCUCCAGGCCGCCACCCCGGGCCCCGACGAUGCCAAGCUCCGGGACCUCGCCACGGACCUCUUCAAGGUCUACUACAUCGGCAUGGAGGCCGGCGCCCGCAUGCUCAGCACCUGCCUCGAGCUAGCCGUCAAGAACGGCGGCCGCUUCGCCAUGAACCCCUCCUUCGCCGUCAUGCCCGACGAGCAGCUCCACGACGCGCUGCUCGCGCAGCGCCUCCCGGCCCGCCCCACCACCCAGCCCGAGGCCUUGGCCCGCGUCGAGGCCGCGCUCUUCGCCGUCAAGCUGCCCGAGGAGUACCACAUCCCGCGCUGCAUCGAGCACCUCGCCGGCUCCCGGCCCCCGCACCCCGGCGGCAAGCACGACACCGCCUCGCCGGACGGCAAGCUCAGGACAGCCAUCGACCUGGACAAGGCGUCCGACUUCCUCGAGCGCGGGUGCACCAUCCUGAGCCUCGCCGUCAAGCACGUCGACCUCGCCGUCGCCGUGCUCUCUCGCUUCCUCGACCGCAAGGAGCUCGCCAGCCUCGCCGACUUCACCGACAAGGUCGCCUACAUCUCCGAGGACGGGCCAUAUCCUUCAACAGAUUAG
rnacentral:rRNA from 1 species